CAGGGGCGUCAAGAAUCCUGAUUUUGGCAGACCUGUGAGAUGGUCUCCUUGAAAAAUUUUGAGAGAGCUUUUGUGAGGAUAGCUUCUAGUUAAGAGAGAUGUAUAUGUUGCUCCUUGAAUUGAUUUUGAUAAUUACAAAGUAUUUGAGGGGGUUACUAAUGAUUUUGAUUUGGAAAAAGAUUUAUUAUUUUUCAGAAGCAAAAUCAUAAUUUCACCAAGUCCUAACUCG
rnacentral:lncRNA from 1 species